rnacentral:rRNA from 1 species
UUGGACAAUGGGGGAAACCCUGAUCCAGCCAUCCCGCGUGUGCGAUGAAGGCCUUCGGGUUGUAAAGCACUUUUGGCAGGAAAGAAACGUCAUGGGUUAAUACCCCGUGAAACUGACGGUACCUGCAGAAUAAGCACCGGCUAACUACGUGCCAGCAGCCGCGGUAAUACGUAGGGUGCAAGCGUUAAUCGGAAUUACUGGGCGUAAAGCGUGCGCAGGCGGUUCGGAAAGAAAGAUGUGAAAUCCCAGAGCUUAACUUUGGAACUGCAUUUUUAACUACCGGGCUAGAGUGUGUCAGAGGGAGGUGGAAUUCCGCGUGUAGCAGUGAAAUGCGUAGAUAUGCGGAGGAACACCGAUGGCGAAGGCAGCCUCCUGGGAUAACACUGACGCUCAUGCACGAAAGCGUGGGGAGCAAACAGGAUUAGAUACCCUGGUAGUCCACGCCCUAAACGAUGUCAACUAGCUGUUGGGGCCGUUAGGCCUUAUAGCGCAGCUAACGCGUGAAGUUGACCGCCU